rnacentral:rRNA from 1 species
UACGUAGGGGGCAAGCGUUAUCCGGAUUUACUGGGUGUAAAGGGGGCGCAGACGGCAGCGCAAGCCAGGAGUGAAAGCCCGGGGCCCAACCCCGGGACUGCUCUUGGAACUGCGCGGCUGGAGUGCAGGAGGGGCAGGCGGAAUUCCUGGUGUAGCGGUGAAAUGCGUAGAUAUCAGGAGGAACACCGGUGGCGAAGGCGGCCUGCUGGACUGCGACUGACGUUGAGGCCCGAAAGCGUGGGGAGCAGACAGG